UACGAACGCUGGCGGCUGGCUUAACACAUGCAAGUCGAACGGAAAGGCCCUGCUGUUGUGGUGUGCGCUAGUGGCGAAAGUGUGAGUAACACUUGAUUAGCCUUCCCUUGACUUUGGGAUAACUUCAGUAAACUGGGGCUAGUACCGUAUAGGAUCUCCUGCUGCAUGGUGGGUGUUGGAAAGUUUCGGCGGUUGGGGAUGGACCGCCGGCGCCUCAGCUUGUUUGUGGGGUAGUGGCUUACCAAGUCUUUGGCGGGUAGCCGGCCUGACAGGGGGACCGGCUGCAUUGGGAUUGGGGAGAGGCGCAGCCUCCUACGGGAGGCAGCAGUGGGGAAUAUUACACAAUGGGCGGAAGCCUGAUGCAGAAACGCCGCGUGCGGGAUGAUGGCCUUCGGGUUGUAGACAGCCUUCGCCUGUGACGACGCGUGAGUGACGGUAAUGGGUAAAGAAGCACCGGCUCACUACGUG
rnacentral:rRNA from 1 species